rnacentral:rRNA from 1 species
UACGUAGGGUGCAGGCGUUAAUCGGAAUUACUGGGCGUAAAGCGUGCGUAGGUGGUUCGUUGUGUCUGUGGUGAAAGCCCCGGGCUUAACCUGGGAAUGGCCAUGGAAACUGGCGAGCUGGAGUGUGGCAGAGGGGGGUGGAAUUCCGCGUGUAGCAGUGAAAUGCGUAGAGAUGCGGAGGAACACCGAUGGCGAAGGCAGCCCCCUGGGCUAACACUGACGCUGAGGCACGAAAGCGUGGGGAGCAAACAGG